rnacentral:rRNA from 1 species
GGGCAACCUGCCGGACGGAUGGGAAUAACCCCGGGAAACCGGGGCUAAUGCCCAAUACGCCCUGACCUCGCCUGAGGUCAGCGNCAAAGCAGGGAUCUUCGGAUCCUUGCACCGUCCGAUGGGCCCGCGGCGCAUUAGCUAGUUGGAGAGGUAAGGGCUCCCCAAGGCGACGAUGCGUAGCCGACCUGAGAGGGUGAUCGGCCACACUGGGACUGAGACACGGCCCAGACUCCUACGGGAGGCAGCAGUAGGGAAUCAUCCGCAAUGGGCGAAAGCCUGACGGUGCAACGCCGCGUGAGUGAUGAAGGUUUUCGGAUCGUAAAGCUCUGUUGACAGGGAAGAACCCACGCCAGUCGAACAGGCUGGCGUGCUGACGGUACCUGUCCAGAAAGCCCCGGCUAACUACGUGCCAGCAGCCGCGGUAAUACGUAGGGGGCAAGCGUUGUCCGGAAUUAUUGGGCGUAAAGGGCACGCAGGCGGUUUCGUCAGUCCGAUGUGACAGGCCACGGCUCAACCGUGGAAGGCCAUUGGAAACUGCGAAACUUGAGGACAGAAGAGGAGAGUGGAAUUCCACGUGUAGCGGUGAAAUGCGUAGAUAUGUGGAGGAACACCAGUGGCGAAGGCGACUCUCUGGUCUGUACCUGACGCUGAGGUGCGAAAGNNNGGGGAGCAAACAGGAUUAGAUACCCUGGUAGUCCAUGCCGUAAACGCUGAGUGCUAGGUGUUAGGGGUUUCGAUACCCGUAGUGCCGAAGCUAACGCAUUAAGCACUCCGCCUGGGGAGUACGACCGCAAGGUUGAAACUCAAAGGAAUUGACGGGGGCC